rnacentral:lncRNA from 1 species
CAAAUGAGGAGGAAUAAAAUACCAACGGAUGAAUCUGGAGAUUAUGUGCAGAAACAAGGAAGAACUGGAAGGGGGUUGUCAUCAAUAAAGCCGGCCCUUCCUUCAGGGAGGGAAAAGAUAAAAAAUUUACCAAUAGCAAAGCCAGUACAGGACAUGAGGCCUAAUGAUAAGAGCAAAAUCAAAUAUGGACGCCCUCCUUCCAAAAAGCAGAAAGGACGCAAGGUUUUGACUUGUGUAGGGAAGCAACUGAACAUCGAUUCUUCUGAUUUUGGAGGUGAAUGUGACGAUGAUCACGAAGAAUUCUAUAAAGCUGCAAAUGCUGCUGGUCUAUUCUGUUCGGGUCAAUUCUGGAAUAAAAUGGAGCCUAUUUUUGCUUCUAUCAGCUUUGCUGAUGCAUGAUACCUGAAGCAACAGCUCAAUUUUUCUGAAGAACUUGAUAAAAGUUUGUCUCAUGUGUUUGGCAUUGAUCACAAUAUGUUGGGUGUUGAUGUUAGUAACAUAACUACUCAAGGUUCAGAGGAAGGAAAGGCAAGCCGCUGUGACGAAGAGUCCACUAAGUUUGAUGCUUUUGGUAGAAAGAGUGAGAUGGCUACCUCAUUAUUCCAAAGACUUCUUUGUGCUCUAAUUGUAGGAGAUGAAAGUGAGGAAUCAUGUUACCGAAGUGAAGCGAAAAAUAUAUCUCGGCAGUGUGCUAGUGAUGAUUCUCAUUGUGGUUCUUGUAAUCAAAUUGAUUUUGAAUCUAAAGAUCGGGAUAGAAUGGAUUCUGAAGUUGAGUAAAAUACAUUUAGAUACCCAAACACAUCCAGCUCUUUACAAAGCACUGGAGUUUCGCAGGGAGAUAAAGAAUUUUUCAUAUCUGAUAUAACGCACACUGGUGAAAUAUGUUCAAAUGAUCUUGAUCAACUGCAGCCAGCUGAAUUUAUUGUUCCUUGUCGUCCUUCUACUGAUGGUCAAUACCAGAUGAUGUCUCUGGAUGACAGGGUGCUGCUUGAGUUGCAGAGCAUAGGCUU